GUCGUCGUAGCGCAGUGGUUAAGCGAGUCCGCCUAUGAUACUGAAUGCCUGGCUUCAAAUGCUGGCGAUAACA
rnacentral:tRNA from 1 species